ACACUAGUCUCCCGUCUUGGCUUCUGACACCCGGGCCCAUCUUUUUUCGCAAACAAAAUCGUGUGAGUAAAUACGAGCCGUUGGUCGAAGAAGCUCACCUCCUCGAAGCCAAUCCCCUGUACGCUCAUGUGAGAUUUCGAGACGGACAGGAAUCGACAACUGCCUUACGUAAACUUGCGUCUCAUGGAAUCAACUUGCUUGAGCAGACUGAUUCUGAGGAUACUGGAUUCUCUGAUUCGGAACCAACCAGCUUACUUACUUCUGAUAAUGAAGACUCUGAAGACUCCUACGAAUCUAAUAAAUUUGAAGAACCUCCCGACAGAAGCGUGGAAAACCAAGUCGUGCACCGAUCAUCCAGAUUUCGCUGUCCUCCCUCGCACCUCGCAGACUU
rnacentral:lncRNA from 1 species